CAAAGUGUUUGGGUUCAUAUCAACUUUCGAUGGUAGGAUAGAGGCCUACCAUGGUGGUAACGGGUAACGGGGUGUUAGGGCACGACACCGGAGAGGGAGCCUGAGAAACGGCUACCACAUCCAAGGAUGGCAGCAGGCGCGCAAAUUACCCAAUCCCGACACGGGGAGGUAGUGACAAUAAAUAACAAUACGGGAUUCUUUUGGAUCUCGUAAUUGGAAUGAGUACAAUUUAAAUCUCUUAACGAGGAACAAUUGGAGGGCAAGUCUGGUGCCAGCAGCCGCGGUAAUUCCAGCUCCAAUAGCGUAUAUUAAAGUUGUUGCAGUUAAGAAGCUCGUAGUUGAAUUUCGAGAUCAGUACGCUGGUCGUGCCUUCGGUAUGCACUGGUGUCACUGGUUUCUCCCUUCUGAAGAACCGUCAUGCCAUUCAGUUGGUGUGGCGGGGAAUCAGGACUGUUACUUUGAAAAAAUUAGAGUGUUUAAAGCAGGCUCGCGCUUGAAUAAGACUGG
rnacentral:rRNA from 1 species